GGAUCAGCAACCCGGGUCUCAGCAUCGGCGACCGAAGGCUCAGUAGUGGAAGCAUCGGCAGCAGAGUGCGCAGGAACUGCAUCAUCCUCCUCGCUACUCGAAUCAGUGUCAUCUAAGGAAUCGGCAUCGAUGUCUUCACUCGUAUACGCCUCGACCAUCUCCUAUGUGACAUCUUCGGGCAAUAGAGGAGGAUCCCGGAGGAAGUUCAGGUUCAGCUUCUUGUCUGCGUUAUAACGCUUGAACCGGUAGACAAGAUUGUCACACUGGUCCAUGACUUCCUUGUCCACAGCAGGAUGAACUCAUCCGAGGAUUGGUAUUCGG
rnacentral:lncRNA from 1 species